GCAUUGUGCAUGGAACAAUAAGAGAACGAUGACAUCAAAAAAAUAUUAGCAAAAUAGAAUCCAGAAAGGGUAGUAACCAAAAACCUAGUUAAAAAGAAAAAUAUCCGAUGAUUAUAGGAGAAGUUUAUAAAUAGGCAUGAUAUGGUGGAGAUUAAUUGCUAUGGGAUGAGGUGGCUUCAAAACGGCUGUCUGGAGAUUGGAUAAUAAAGACCUAAAGAAAAAGGUGCCGAUUUUUACUUCGGUGGACGAUUCGGAAUGUUCUGAUCACAUAACAAACGGUAUAAGGUGUUUUUAAUUAAUAAUGACAACUGUGUUUUUAAUUAUUUUGAAUAAAUGUGUUUUUUGUUUGACUUUAUAUAUCUGCGGAUACUAUGAAUAAAUAAUGUGGAAUUAG
rnacentral:lncRNA from 1 species